CCCUGGGUCCCUUUGGAUCCUCCGGGACCCCAAAAUUCCAAAAAAUUCCCAAAAAUUCCCAAAAAAUUCCCAAAAAAUUCCCAAAAAAUUUCCCAAAAUUCCCCAAAUUUUUCCUCAAAUUUCCCCCAAAACUCCAAAAAUUCCAGUUCAAACCAGUUCAAACCAGUUCAAACCAGUUCAGAGCACUUUAAACCAGUCCAAACCAGUCCAAACCAGUCCAAACCAGUCAAUCCCUUUCCAUUCCAGUUCAAACCAGUUCAAACCAGUCCAAACCAGUUAAUCCCAGUCCAUUCCAGUCCAUUCCAGUUCCAACCAGUUCAAACCAGUCCAUUCCAGUUCAAACCAGUCCCUCCCAGUCCACCCCAGUCCGUCCCAGUUCCAGCUGAGCAGGGGGGUCCAGAUGGGCCCUGGCAGCAGCUGACAAACCAGUACGGACCAGUAUGGACCAGUACGGACCAGUACGGACCAGUACGGACCAGUACGGACCAGUAUGAACCAGUACGGACCAGUAUGAACCAGUACGGACCAGUAUGGACCAGUAUAAACCAGUAUGGACCAGUACGGACCAGUAUGGACCAGUAUAAACCAGUAUAAACCAGCACGAGCCAGUAUGAACCAGUAUAAACCAGUAUGAACCAGUAUAAACCAGUAUGGACCAGUGCAGUUUUGAAGCAUAUCCCAGUCUGUCCCAGUUCAUCCCAGUAAAUCCCAGUUUGUCCCAGUCCCUCAUUCCUCCGGUGCUCCCAGUUUGUCCCAGUUUAUCCCAGUUCCCCCAGUAUUCCCAUUCCCCAGUUUGUCCCAGUUUGUCCCAGUUUGUCCCAGUUUGUCCCAGUUUGUCCCAGUUUGUCCCAGUUUGUCCCAGUCCCUCCAGGCUCCCAAUUUCCCAGUUGCUCCCAGUGCUCCCAGUUUGUCCCAGUUUAUCCCAGUGCUCCCAGUAUUCCCAGUAUUCCCAGUCCAUCCCAGUGCUCCCAGUUUGUCCCAGCGCUCCCGGUCUCUCCCAGUAAUUCCCAGUACCUCCCAGUUCCCCCCAAUUGCUCCCAGUUUAUCCCAGUAACAGCUCCCAGUAAUGGCUCCCAGUUGCUCCCAGUUUAUCCCACUGCUCCCAGUUUAUCCCAGUUUAUCCCAGUUUAUCCCAGUUUGUCCCAGUUUAUCCCAGUUUACCCCAGUGCUCCCAGUUUAUCCCAGUUCCCCCAGUUGCUCCCAGUCGCUCCCGGUCUCUCCCAGUCUCUCCCAGUGCUCCCAGUUUGUCCCAGUUUGUCCCAGUGCUCCCAGUAUUCCCAAUAUUCCCAUUUCCCAGUCGCUCCCAGUGCUCCCAGUUUGAUCCCAGUUUGUUCCCAGUCUCUCCCAGUCCAUCCCAGUCCAUCCCAGCUUGAUCCCAGUUUGAUCCCAGUUCCAUCCCAGCUUGAUCCCAGUUUGUUCCCAGUCUCUCCCAGUCCCUCCCAGUCCCUCCCAGUACCCGCAGUUCUCUCACCGGGCUCUGUCGCUGUCGCGAUUCCCAGCGCCGCCAGCAGCAGCAGCGGCAGCAGCCCCGGCGGGGCCCUCAUGUCGCGACAGAGCCGCGAUAUCGCGAUAGAGGCACCGGGGGGGGGAGCCGCGAUAUCGCGAUAGAGGCAGCGCCAGAUCCGCGGGGCAGAGCCGCGGUAUCGCGAUAGAGGCAGCGGGGGCAGAGCCGCGGUAUCGCGAUAUCGGAGCCGGCAGAGCCCCGCGAUGUCGCGAUAGAAGCCGGCGGGGCCGCCCCGCGAUGGAGGCGCCGAUCGAGCCCCGCGAUGUCGCGACAGAGCCCCCGGGACGUGGCGGCCCCGGCGCGAGCGGGAGCCGAGUGCGGGAACGGGAGCGGGAGCGGGGCCACG
ensembl:lncRNA